rnacentral:rRNA from 1 species
UGGGGAAUUUUGCGCAAUGGGCUAACGCCUGACGCAGCAACGCCGCGUGGAGGAUGAAGGUCUUUGGAUUGUAAACUCCUGUCGGCAGGGAACAAGCGAGCCGGCCUAAUACGCCGGUGAGUUGAUUGUACCUGCGGAGGAAGCCCCGGCUAACUCUGUGCCAGCAGCCGCGGUAAUACAGAGGGGGCAAGCGUUAUUCGGAAUUAUUGGGCGUAAAGGGCGCGUAGGCGGCCUGGCAAGUGGAAGGUGAAAUCCCUCGGCUUAACCGAGGAACUGCCCUCCAAACUGCUUGGCUUGAGUCCGGGAGAGGUGAGUGGAAUUCCCAGUGUAGCGGUGAAAUGCGUAGAUAUUGGGAGGAACACCAGUGGCGAAGGCGGCUCACUGGACCGGAACUGACGCUGAGGCGCGAAAGCGUGGGGAGCAAACGG